rnacentral:misc_RNA from 1 species
CCUGAGGGUGUUGACCUUCUAUCGGUAACUACUAGUUCUUAACUGGAUUUCAUAAUUGUAGGCUUCUAAGAAAGGAAAGGCAACUCAAAGGUUUAGUGUUCAAAAUAUGGUCUAAUAGUUGUAGAUUAGAUUUUCAUUUUUGUUUGAAUUGAAGAAUAAUGUGGCAUGCUAGAGGCUAUAGAGAACUUUAUCGACAAUUGGAAUUGUUAAGGUUUUUCUCUACCUAUAAUAAUGUUCUUACGGACAAUUAUGAGUCUAAAAUUACUCAAGCUUAUGAGAAUUGUGAGGCUGCUAGUUCCAGUAGCCGUGAUAGAUCUGGUACUAUAAACUCAGACCUGGCGUGAGCUGAAGUAAGGCAAUUUUCUUAAAAUAGGAUAUGGAUCAUGCCUAAUUGAUCUGUCAUGAUUGUCAAAAAGUUGAUGAUCUAGGUGUUAGGAAAUUUGAAUUUGGAUAAUAGUGCCUGGAAGUGGGAAGUGGAAAGUGGAAACUGGUAUUAUAGGCUGAAAUUGAUCUGUACUGUGCUGGUUUAAAUGUUAUCAUAAUUUGUUCACGUUGUCAAUCUAACACAACUGGAGUGAGGAACAAAGCACGUACAUGGCAAUUUUGUCCAUUUGUUAGUUGUUACCCCUAUGUUAAAAUAGAAUUUCCAUGUUCAGAAAUCACAUAAUGCUGGCCCUGUUUUGUUAAUGUUUUCUUGUUUUUGGAUAAUGCAGAAGAUGCUUAAAUAUGAUCCAGCUGAAAGAAUAUCAGCCAAAGCAGCUAUGGAUCAUCCCUAUUUUGAUAGCCUUGACAAGUCUCAAUUUUGAAGCUGCUGCCUUACUAGAAUUUUGUCAUAUGAUAUAUGACAGCUUUCGGAUGUUGUAUCUUUCUUCUUGCAUGUGUUCAUUAGGAUUUUUGUUUAUGCUUUAGUCAAACAUUACUUAGAAAGAUGCUUUGGUUCAUCAGCUUGGUGAUUUAACAAUUGAAACAGCAAUAGCAUAUUCAGGCCAUGGCACAUGUGUUGGUGAUUUAAAAAUUAGUUAGUAGAAUAGUAGCUAAGUACAUGAGUUGCUACACUUGUAAAUUCAGCUUAGCUGCCACACUUCGAGGAUUUCUCAACCAGUAAUAGCACAAUCAGGGCAUGGCAAUUUAGAAGUUUAUAUUGUAAUAAGAAAUUUGAUGUUUGGUUCUGUUGAGUGA